rnacentral:piRNA from 1 species
GCCUGCAAUGGUACUGUGAUCGAAC